UACGGGGGGGGCAAGCGUUGUUCGGAAUUACUGGGCGUAAAGGGCUCGUAGGCGGCCAACUAAGUCAGACGUGAAAUCCCUCGGCUUAACCGGGGAACUGCGUCUGAUACUGGAUGGCUUGAAUUCGGGAGAGGGAUGCAGAAUUCCAGGUGUAGCGGUGAAAUGCGUAGAUAUCUGGAGGAAUACCGGUGGCGAAGGCGGCAUCCUGGACCGAGAUUGACACUGAUGAGCGAAAGCCAGGGGAGCAAACGGG
rnacentral:rRNA from 1 species